AACGAACGCUGGCGGCAGGCUUAACACAUGCAAGUCGAACGGGUGUAGCAAUACAUCAGUGGCAGAUGGGUGAGUAACACGUGGGAACCUUCCUAGGGGUACGGAACAACUCAGGGAAACUUGAGCUAAUACCGUAUACGUCCGUGAGGAGAAAGAUUUAUCGCCCUUAGACGGGCCCGCGUCGGAUUAGCUAGUUGGUGGGGUAACGGCCUACCAAGGCGACGAUCCGUAGCUGAUCUUAGAGGAUGAUCAGCCACACUGGGACUGAGACACGGCCCAGACUCCUACGGGAGGCAGCAGUGGGGAAUCUUGGACAAUGGGCGCAAGCCUGAUCCAGCCAUGCCGCGUGAGUGAAGAAGGUCUUCGGAUUGUAAAGCUCUUUUGCCAGGGACGAUAAUGACGGUACCUGGAGAAUAAGCCCCGGCAGACUUCGUGCCAGCAGCCGCAGUAA
rnacentral:rRNA from 1 species